CAGCCUGCCAUGUAAGGAGCUACCCUGAGUCUGGAAGGAAGUCUAGCAGGGCGAUUUCCAUAUCAACUGUGGCAUCUUGGGCAAUCACAUCCUCUGUGCUCAUAGGAUCUGCAUCACAGAGUUGCACCUCGUGCACUCUCGGAUGAACCCAAAGGUGGCAUUUUUUGCACAGAGAACAACUGUGAUAAAAGUCCAUCUGUGAUGGAAGAGAAGCACUGAGAACAGCAAGGAGGGUAUGCUGUGCCUAACAUAUGCCAGUGUCUUACAUCUAAGAGUCUUGUCAUCCUAAAAAGCCUUUGGACCUGAUCUGUUAUAAUUUCAAGAUGUGUGCUCUCAGCCUCUAUCCAUGUUUCCUACCAUGAUCGUGGACUUCCUUCUGAAAUUAUGCAUCAGAAAAGGAGCAAAGCCUGGUAGCUCAAGAAUUAUCCAGUGUUCCAGACACAGUACCAUAGAAAGCCAUGUGUCUCAAACCACAGGAACCUAUUCCUGCCCCUUUAUGUACUUAUGAAAACUAGUGAUAUACUCAAUCAUCAAGAUAUCAAGCAUGGAGCAGAGGUCAUUAAGAGAAUAAAGACAUUGCAGCCAGGUUCCUAACUUGGGCCUAAGUACAAGUCACUAAAGGAAUCAUGGUCAAGUUUCUGAAUCAGUUUGGCUGUUUGAAGAAACAAACUUCACUGAAAUUUUUCCCGGGAGCAUGUUAAUGUAGAUGAAAGAAAAACGCAGCCCUUUCUUGGGUUUGAAAUGGAUAGGAAUGAGCAUGUGGAAAGGUCAAGCUGUGAACAGGACCCUGAGCUCCCCAUCCUGAUGAAUCAAGUGCUGAAAAGAGAGAUACUACACCAUGAGAAGAGAGGGAGAAACUCACACCCACCAAAGAAGAAUAGAGAAAGACACAACACUGAGCAGAGAAUGCUACAUGAAGGAGUCACAUGCCUUUGUCUCUAAUUUCAUAUCAUCGUCAGAGAGGAGCGCUGGGCAUUAUUUAUGGGUGGAAUAUCAAAUGAAGGUGGCUGUGCUGAAAAACUAGAAUUCAAUUAAUCAUAUGAGGCCUGGUCAUCCUUCUUUAGGAUCAAGGAAGCUCACUCCUAAUCCCUUGCUUAAUCUUCAUAAGCCUCAAUUCUGGAACAAGAUGCUCAAGGUGCUUUCACCCUUGCUUCUGUGUCAUAUCUGGAGCAAAAGAAGCUUCAUCAUGGAGGCAUAGCCAGUCCUUGGAGUUUCUGAAACUCUGGCAACAAAUGCAGAUAUUAUAUAGCUCCAGAGUGACCCUGUGCUAGAAGGAUGCAAGCUAUGCUGAGUCUGAGCACCUCUCUGCUCUGAAAGUCAUGAGCAGAGUUGCUCAGGAUGUCUACCAGUCUUCAGAAUGAAGGGGCUUGUGGAAGUGUACAGUCCUCUCUUCAAUAAAGCUGUUCAAAACCAA